rnacentral:tRNA from 1 species
GCCCCCAUAGUAUAAGCAAUUACCCUGGUCUUGU